rnacentral:rRNA from 1 species
GACAGAGGUGCCAAGCGUUAGGCGGAAUCACUGGGCUUAAAGCGUGUGUAGGCGGACUUGUAAGUACCUUGUGAAAUCCCACGGCUCAACCGUGGAACUGCUUGGUAUACUGCUUGUCUUGAGCUACUUAGGGGCUACCGGAACAAAUGGUGGAGCGGUGAAAUGCGUAGAUAUCAUUUGGAACGCCAAUGGUGAAAACAGGUAGCUGGGAGUGUGCUGACGCUGAGACACGAAAGCCAGGGGAGCGAACAGG